rnacentral:miRNA from 1 species
GGGCCUCUCCAGUCUGCAGCUCCCAGCGGCCUUGGGCCACGCUCCCGGGAUCCCCAGGGACUGGCCUAGGACUAUUGGGGGUGGUGGCAG